UACGUAGGCGGAAAAUUAAGUCAGUAGUGAAAUCCUGCAGCUUAACUGUAGAACUGUUAUUGAUACUGGUUUUCUUGAAUAUUGUUGAGGUAGGCGGAAUAAGUAAUGUAGCGGUGAAAUGCUUAGAUAUUACUUAGAACACCGAUUGCGAAGGCAGCUUACUAAGCAAUUAUUGACGCUGAGGUACGAAAGCGUGGGGAGCGAACAGGAUUAGAUACCCUGGUAGUCC
rnacentral:rRNA from 1 species